rnacentral:rRNA from 1 species
UCGUCACACUAUCAUUAACUGAAUCCAUAGGUUAAUGAGGCGAACCGGGGGAACUGAAACAUCUAAGUACCCCGAGGAAAAGAAAUCAACCGAGAUUCCCCCAGUAGCGGCGAGCGAACGGGGAGGAGCCCAGAGCCUGAAUCAGCAUGUGUGUUAGUGGAAGCGUCUGGAAAGGCGCGCGAUACAGGGUGACAGCCCCGUACACAAAAGCGCAUGUGCUGUGAGCUCGAUGAGUAGGGCGGGACACGUGGUAUCCUGUCUGAAUAUGGGGGGACCAUCCUCCAAGGCUAAAUACUCCUGACUGACCGAUAGUGAACCAGUACCGUGAGGGAAAGGCGAAAAGAACCCCGGCGAGGGGAGUGAAAAAGAACCUGAAACCGUGUACGUACAAGCAGUGGGAGCACCCUUUGGGUGUGACUGCGUACCUUUUGUAUAAUGGGUCAGCGACUUAUAUUCUGUAGCAAGGUUAACCGAAUAGGGGAGCCGGAGGGAAACCGAGUCUUAACCGGGCGUUAA